rnacentral:rRNA from 1 species
UACGUAGGGUGCAAGCGUUAAUCGGAAUUACUGGGCGUAAAGCGCACGUAGGCGGGUUGUUAAGUCAGGGGUGAAAUCCUGGAGCUCAACUCCAGAACUGCCUUUGAUACUGGCAACCUAGAGACUGGAAGAGGUUAGUGGAAUUCCCAGUGUAGAGGUGAAAUUCGUAGAUAUUCGCAAGAACACCAGUGGCGAAGGCGGCUCACUGGCCCGGUACUGACGCUGAGGUGCGAAAGCGUGGGGAGCAAACAGG